rnacentral:rRNA from 1 species
UAGGGAAUCUUCCACAAUGGACGCAAGUCUGAUGGAGCAACGCCGCGUAAGUGAAGAAGGUUUUCGGAUCGUAAAGCUCUGUUGUUGGUGAAGAAGGAUAGAGGCAGUAACUGGUCUUUAUUUGACGGUAAUCAACCAGAAAGUCACGGCUAACUACGUGCCAGCAGCCGCGGUAAUACGUAGGUGGCAAGCGUUGUCCGGAUUUAUUGGGCGUAAAGCGAGCGCAGGCGGAAUGAUAAGUCUGAUGUGAAAGCCCACGGCUCAACCGUGGAACUGCAUCGGAAACUGUCAUUCUUGAGUGCAGAAGAGGAGAGUGGAAUUCCAUGUGUAGCGGUGGAAUGCGUAGAUAUAUGGAAGAACACCAGUGGCGAAGGCGGCGCUCUGGUCUGCAACUGACGCUGAGGCUCGAAAGCAUGGGUAGCGAACAGG